rnacentral:rRNA from 1 species
UACAGAGGGUGCAAGCGUUGCCCGGAUUUAUUGGGCGUAAAGGGCGCGUAGGCGGUCACGCACGUCCGUUGUGAAAUCGCUCGGCUCAACUGGGCGGGGUCAGCGGAUACGGCGUGGCUGGAGCAAGCUAGGGGGUAAUGGAAUUCCCGGUGUAGUGGUGGAAUGCGUAGAUAUCAGGAGGAACACCGAUGGCGAAGGCAGGUCUCUGGGCCAUUACUGACACUGAGAAGUGAAAGCAUGGGGAGCGAACAGG